rnacentral:rRNA from 1 species
UACGAAGGGGGCUAGCGUUGCUCGGAAUUACUGGGCGUAAAGCGCACGUAGGCGGAUUGUUAAGUCGGGGGUGAAAUCCUGGAGUUCAACUCCAGAACUGCCUUCGAUACUGGCGAUCUCGAGUUCGGGAGAGGUGAGUGGAACUGCGAGUGUAGAGGUGAAAUUCGUAGAUAUUCGCAAGAACACCAGUGGCGAAGGCGGCUCACUGGCCCGAUACUGACGCUGAGGUGCGAAAGCGUGGGGAGCAAACAGG